GUGGGGAAUAUUGCGCAAUGGGCGAAAGCCUGACGCAGCAACGCCGUGUGAGCGAUGAAGGCCUUCGGGUUGUAAAGCUCUGUCGGGAGGAAAGACGGCCUUGCCGGUAAACAAUCGGUGAGGUUGACGGUACCUCCAAAGGAAGCACCGGCUAACUCUGUGCCAGCAGCCGCGGUAAGACAGAGGGUGCAAGCGUUGUUCGGAAUCAUUGGGCGUAAAGCGCGCGUAGGCGGUUUUGUAAGUCGGACGUGAAAGCCCAGGGCUUAACCCUGGAAGUGCAUCCGAAACUGCAGGACUUGAGUACCGGAGAGGGUGGUGGAAUUCCUGGUGUAGAGGUGAAAUUCGUAGAUAUCAGGAGGAACACCCGUGGCGAAGGCGGCCACCUGGACGGUCACUGACGCUGAGGCGCGAAAGCGUGGGUAGCAAACAGGAUUAGAUACCCGGGUAGUCC
rnacentral:rRNA from 1 species